CAGCGCAAGCAUCUGUCCUUGCGCAACCUCCAAAUCCAAAGCAUCGACCGCGGUGAAGGUGCCGGCACCACCCGCCUUGCCGAAAACCUUCGAUACCUGUUCGAGAGAGAUUGCGGGCCUUUCGAGACCAUUCGUCAUAACGCACGCUCCGAGACUGCGCGGUAGCGAAACGCGACGCUCUCAAUAAGCGUCAGAAUCGCUU
rnacentral:misc_RNA from 1 species